AAUAUACCUAUACCAACUCACUGAAAAAAAUAACUAAAACUAAAACCGAAAAAUGGUAUCAUCAAUUGUUUGUGAUUUGUGCACUAAUAAUGUGGAGAAAAGUGAGUUUGAAGCUCAUUAUGGCAAGGGCUCAAAGCCUCGAAAUGGUUUCGAAGUUUUCAUGGCUAGAUCACAAAUAAAAUGCGACUUGUGCUCUACUGAGGUCAACAAUAAUGACUUUGAUGAGCAUUAUCAAAAUUGUGAAGGGCCCAAAAAUGCAUUCAUUUUAUUAAUGAAUGGUAGAAAACAACAACAAAAACAAAAAAAAACAACAACAACAACAACACCAUCAAAAAUAACAACAACACCAUCAAAAACAACAACAACAACUAAACCAAGAACUAAAAAAUUUAGACGACCAUCCUUCAACAUCCGCUAAUGCUCUUAAACGAAUAAGAUUGGAGGAGGGUAAAAAAAUCAUUAAUCAACACAAAGAAAAUUAAAAUUAUAGAGAGCAAAAAGGAUUUAAAAAUGGAACUUUUAUUUCCUACGUGCAGUGAAAAAUAUCUGGCCUCAAGAGAACGUCAGCCGAUAUUGACCGGUAAGAAUAAAAAUGCAUCGGUCAGAGAGGUCAAGAAUAAUCAAAAUAUUAUUCACCUUUGUUCUAAAACUAAGUUUCCAGUAAAAUCAUAUAGAAUAAAUAGUUCUGUCCAAAAUACUAUUGAUUUAAAAGAUUAUUACCAGCUUUGCCAAAGAAAAAAUAUAAGAAGUUCUAAAGCAUUGCAUGAUUGAAUAUAGUGUCAUUAAAUUCAGCCUGAGAGUUUAUGGUACCUAUAAAAAACGAGAAGGAGAUACAAUUAAAACAACAAAACAUUUUACGACUGCAGACAAAUCGGUAUACCAAUCUGAAAACAUUGACAAUGAGUUAAAUACGGCAAUAGAUAGUUUAUUAACAUCAAGCAGUGAGUUUAAAGAAAAAGAUUCUGGUUGGCAAUUAGAAAUUUUAUAUAUUUUGAAAUUACGAUAAUAAAUCUAGAAAACAUUCCUGCUAGCGGAUACAUCCAGGCCCCUAAAAAUAUAAGAGCACGAAAUGCGCUUAUAAAUGUAAAAAACACGGAUGUAUUUUGUUUCAAGUGGUGCGUACUAGCAUACGAGUAUAUAGCUAAUAAAAGCCAUGAGAGUACUACCUUUGCAACAACACAGCAAAGAAAGUAUUCGAAAAAAUGACAAAGCAAUCAUUGUGUAUGAUGGCAUAAGUUUGUAUUUUUCGGAAAUCGAGUGUCCAAUCACAAAUAAAGGAAUUAUUCAGUUAAAAAAAAAAUAAUGCAGACUUCAACAUUAACAUUUAUGAAACUGAUGCAGAUGGCGAAAAAAUUAUCAGGCCAACCUUUAGAACAAAGUCAAUUCGUUCUAUUCAUAUCAAUAUAUUAGGAAUCAACAAUAUAAGCCAAGAAGUCAUGCAUUAUGCCUACAUUAUGAGUGUAAAAAGAUUAUGUUAAUCGCAACAUUCCAAAUCGAAGGCGGGUGGAUAUUUUUGUGAAAACUGCUUACAAUUUUUCACCGUAAAUAACACAACCCAUAAUAAGCUUGAGUGCGGAAAAGAAGCCUCCAUCUACCCAGAGCCAAAUACUACAACAUCGUUUAAGGGCUUUCACAAAAAAUUAUCCCCUCCAGUGGUGAUAUAUGCUGAAAUUGAGGCUGUUCUUGAAAAUUACAGUACAUGCCUAAGCUGAGCAACUACUUCGUCGACAACAAAAGUGCAAAAGCAUACUGUAUGUGCAGUAUCAUUUUACAUUGCGCAUAAAUAUAAUCCGGCUCUUAACGAAUUGUACACAUAUGAAGGCGCUGACUGCAUUACCCAAUUUUGUAAAUCACUCAAAGAAAAAACUAUGAGUUUGUUUUACAAAUAUUGGUCAACCCCCAAAGGUCCGAGCACAAGUCCAAUUAAUGACGAUGAUCAGAAGGGUAGUUGCUGCGCCUGUGAGAAUGAAAUACAUGAUGACGACCUGGAAAACCACUUCGACCAAUUUACUGGAAAUUACGUGGUACCUAUUCAUAAAAAUUGUAAGCCAAAAUAUAAAUUAAGGGAUCCUUUGUUUCCUGUAGUA